GCCAGCAGCCAUAUCACCCUGCAGCUCUCAACUGGCUACCCACUGAAACUAAACAGUAUUUGGAUGGGAGACCUCCUGGAAAGCUCAGAUUGCUGCUGGAA
rnacentral:rRNA from 1 species